rnacentral:rRNA from 1 species
UCAGUAACGGCGAGUGAAGCGGCAACAGCUCAAAUUUGAAAGCUGGCCCCCCCCGGGGGUCCGCGUUGUAAUUUGUAGAGGAUGAUUCGGCGAGGGCUCCCGCCUAAGUCCCCUGGAACGGGGCGUCAUAGAGGGUGAGAAUCCCGUAUGCGGUGGGCUGCCUUAGCCAUGUGAAUCUCCUUCGACGAGUCGAGUUGUUUGGGAAUGCAGCUCUAAAUGGGAGGUAAAUUUCUUCUAAAGCUAAAUACCGGCCAGAGACCGAUAGCGCACAAGUAGAGUGAUCGAAAGAUGAAAAGCACUUUGGAAAGAGAGUUAAAAAGUACGUGAAAUUGUUGAAAGGGAAGCGCUUGCAGCCAGACUUGCCCGCAGUUGCUCAGCCGGUCUCCUGACCGGCGCACUCUUCUGCGGCCAGGCCAGCAUCAGUUCGGGCGGUCGGAUAAAGGCCCCGGGAACGUAGCUCCUCUCGGGGAGUGUUAUAGCCCGGGGUGGAAUGCGGCCAGCCUGGACUGAGGAUCUCGCUUCGGCUAGG